rnacentral:rRNA from 1 species
GACGAACCAUCCAAACGUUAUUCGGAAUUACUGGGCUUAAAGGGUGCGUAGGCUGCGCAGCAAGUUGGGUGUGAAAUCCCUCGGCUUAACCGAGGAACUGCGCCCAAAACUACUGUGCUUGAGGGAGACAGAGGUGAGCGGAACUUAGGGUGGAGCGGUGAAAUGCGUUGAUAUCCUAAGGAACACCCGUGGCGAAAGCGGCUCACUGGGUCUCUUCUGACGCUGAUGCACGAAAGCUAGGGGAGCGAACGGG